AUUUAGCACAAAACCCUUAUUCGCUUCCUUCUGUUCCAUCCCCUUAUAACACCACAUAGCUGGCUGCAUUGAGCACUCCUUCAUGAUCAAGAAAAGAGAGAAGCUUGCCAAGAAAUUACAAGAUGGUAGCUAGCUGCUUAAGGAAGCUUGUCUUUUGAGGGGAAUGUUGUUUGGUUCAAGGCCUGGCCACCCCAUGUCUUGGAAUUUAAAAUAUCAUGUCCUCGGACCAGGCUUCAUUCCCCUCAAUUACUGCUUCCAAAUAUGCAUGAUCAGAUCAUUUUGGAUCAACUUCGAGAUAUGGAGAGAGGUGCAAAAAGAAAUGAUAAAAGAGUUGUCAAAAUUUAGCCUGCAGAACUUGAAAGAACAAAACCCUUUUGAAGACCGAGGCUUUUUCUAUAUGUUAUUGCUUAAUGGGGGUGGUUGGAUCUGCAGAGUUAUGUAGAUAUUUCUCUGCUUUCUUUACCUUUGCCAAUGUUUUACUUCCAGUUCAUUGUAUAUUAAUUAAACUCAUUAGAGAAUAUAUCCAUUUACAUUUUAGUGGAAGACAAGCAGCUGCACUAAAGAUUUGAAGCCAAGUAUAUAUAGAGCAGUGGAUAUGUUCUCUAGUAUUUGAUUCCCAUGAUCACUUUCUUUACUAAAAGAGAGGUAUCUUUCUACUUCUAUCUCUUAA